rnacentral:rRNA from 1 species
UUGGGCGUAAAGCGUCCGCAGGCGGCUUUUCAAGUCUGCUGUUAAAGCGUGGAGCUUAACUCCAUCAUGGCAGUGGAAACUGAAAGGCUUGAGUAUGGUAGGGGCAGAGGGAAUUCCCGGUGUAGCGGUGAAAUGCGUAGAUAUCGGGAAGAACACCAGUGGCGAAGGCGCUCUGCUGGGCCAUUACUGACGCUCAUGGACGAAAGCCAGGGGAGCGAAAGGGAUUAGAUACCCCUGUAGUCCUGGCCGUAAACGAUGAACACUAGGUGUCGGGGGAAUCGACCCCUUCGGUGUCGUAGCUAACGCGUUAAGUGUUCCGCCUGGGGAGUACGCACGCAAGUGUGAAACUCAAAGGAAUUGACGGGGGCCCGCACAAGCGGUGGAGUAUGUGGUUUAAUUCGAUGCAACGCGAAGAACCUUACCAGGGUUUGACAUCCUGCGAACCUCUUAGAAAUUUGAGGGUGCCUUCGGGAAUGCAGUGACAGGUGGUGCAUGGCUGUCGUCAGCUCGUGUCGUGAGAUGUUGGGUUAAGUCCCGCAACGAGCGCAACCCACGUUUUUAGUUGCCAGCAUUUAGUUGGGCACUCUAGAAAGACCGCCGGUGAUAAACCGGAGGAAGGUGUGGAUGACGUCAAGUCAUCAUGCCCCUUACACCCUGGGCUACACACGUACUACAAUGCUACGGACAAAGGGCAGCAAACUCGCGAGAGCUAGCAAAUCCCAUAAACCGUGGCUCAGUUCAGAUCGUAGGCUGCAACUCGCCUACGUGAAGUAGGAAUCGCUAGUAAUCGCAGG